AAACAAAACCAACAAACAUAACCUAAACCUUCCAACGUUUGCCUCAGGGAUUUCCAAUGCACAUGUCAUGUUAAAGAUUAUCAUUCCCACAGAUUUGAGUCAAUUUAACACUUAAGCACAUACUUAAUCAUAGUCACUACUUACUAGUUCACAAUUAACCAAUUAAAACAAUGUUUUGAAUGUAGUAACAUGCCUUAGAGAAUUCCCUCAAUCCUUACAAGAUAUGCACUCUAUUUUCACUCAGAUUUUCUAACUACACACCCUAUACUAGUUAUAUGUGAGAGAAUUGAUGUAGAUAUAAAAACGAAUGCUCACAUAUAUGUAUCACAAAGAACGCAAUUUCCGGAGUUAACAAGCAUGUUUAGAUAUGAUCUCAUGAAUGGAAUGCUACUACUUAGAUGCGAGUACCAGUGACACCAUAUGCGCAUACCAAAUUCAAACUCCACAAAUUGAAACACAUAACACUCAAGAUAGAAGUUAAGGGUUGCAACGAGGCUUGGGGUUUUGGUUAACAAAGAAAGGAUAGGGAAAACAAACGUUCUUCAAGCAUUAGUACGCAAAGUAAUGGAAUUAAGACUUAGAAUUCACUUAGAUUGCAGAAAUUAACUUUAAAACAAAAAGGGAAGACUUAGACAACUCCUUAGGGUCGAAUUCAUUGUUUUGGACCCUUACUUCAACAAACAAUACUUUGGAACACUUUUUCACAUCUUUUCAACUCUUUUUUUUUUUUUUUUUUGAAUUGUUAUUAUUAUUAUUAUUAUUUUUUCUUUCUACCCGUGCCUAUGGCACACAAUUGACAAAAAUAAAAACUUCCCCCACACUUGGUUUCUGCCACAAAGGAAUUCAAUUUGAAUCAUGCUUACUAUAGUUUAAGAACGAGGGUAUGGAUAGUCCUAAUCUAGGCUAGGUGAGGGUAAUGUGGGUUAACAAAGAAAAGGCUAAACAAGGCUCAAUGGGGUUAACACCUACAAAACAUAAUGACAUAGGGAUUCAUGGCUUUUUGGCUAUGGUGGUGGUCACUACACAACUUUAUCUUGAAUAUGUGUUAUGCUAAUCAAUAACAUGCUUUGAAUGAAAUGGGCAUGAGUUCUAGUGUUUGGAACUAAAUGAUGAAACGCCUUCUAAGUAGCAACCAAGCAAAGAAUAAUGAGAUCAUGCAACGACUUUAGAAAACGAAGAAUGCACAGAUUUUGACUCUUCAAAUAAACGUUUAGGCUCAAGUCUCACAAGGUUGUAGCGUUAAUUUGAGUUCCUUCCUUCAAGCAUGUUACAAAAACUGAUUUUUCCUUUAUGAUUGCAUGUGAAUUCAUAAGUUAUAACCACAACCAAGCAUAAACCAAAAGAGUAAAUCAAACUUUUAUCCAUGUUUAUAAAUUUCUUUAACCGUCAUGUAAUUAACAAACCAAAUCCUCAUCAUUGUGUUGGAAGGUACCCUAAGACACACACAAAAACAACUCUUUUUGGGUUUUUCAAAAUCAAAUUUUUCAAAUUUUUAUGGGAUUUUUCGGAUUUUUUACUUAAAACACACUAAAACAUACCAAAACAGCUUAAAAAGGCUUAAAAACAGUGAAAAACAACAUUAGAAAUUAUGGUGAGAAAACUCCUACGAAUUUGCAUCAAAACACUUUGGUUACCCCCCCACACUUAAAUGAAACAUUGUCCUCAAUGUUUCAAGCAUAGACUAACACAAAUAACAAACAAACAAACAAAACAGCAACUAAGCAAUUUAACAUGGCAUAAAUAAAAACAACAACAAAGAGAAGGGUUUAGGAACGCAAAUCUGGAAUUGGAGUGCUCUCUAUGUCCUCCUUUGUUGAAUGCAUGGGUUGCCUCCCAAGUAGCGCUUGCUUUAACGUCGUACAGCCGGACGAAGACCUCAUUCACUCCUUACUAGGGCCCACGGCAUUCAAGGGUAUGUCAUCCACGGCAUGCUCUACAAAGGUGUCAUAAUAGGGUUUCAAACGAUGCCCGUUCACCUUGAAUUCUUGUCCCGUUUUCAAGUUUUGGAUUUGGACUGCACCAUGAACAAAAACAUUAGUAAUAACAAACGGUCCAAUCCACUUAGAACGUAACUUACCGGGAAACAAACGUAAACGGGAAUUGAACAAUAGCACUUUUUGCCCAAUUGAGAAUGAUUUCCCACGGAUCAUGUUGUCAUGGAAAGCUUUGGUCUUUUGCUUGUAAA
rnacentral:lncRNA from 1 species